GACAGAACGGUGUAGUGGUUUGCAAGUUGGUCUAUGACUCUGGAGACCAGGGUUCAAAUCCCAGUUUGGCCA